rnacentral:rRNA from 1 species
UACGUAGGGGGCAAGCGUUGUCCGGAUUUAUUGGGCGUAAAGAGCGUGUAGGCGGCCAGGUAGGUCGGUUGUGAAAACUGGAGGCUCAACCUUCAGACGUCGAUCGAAACCAUCUGGCUAGAGUCCGGGAGAGGAGAGUGGAAUUCCUGGUGUAGCGGUGAAAUGCGCAGAUAUCAGGAAGAACACCCGUGGCGAAAGCGGCUCUCUGGAACGGUACUGACGCUGAGACGCGAAAGCGUGGGGAGCGAACAGG